GGGUAGCAUCAUGGUAAAUUUUUUACUCAUUAUGCUGAAGACCGGGUUAAUUCCCACAUGGGUACAAUGUGAGAAGCCCAUUUCUGUUGUCCCCUGCCAUGAAAUUGCUGGAAUAUUGAUAAAAGAGCCAUUAAACCCAACUAUCUCACUCACUAACGUUAUACAAUCACCAUGGUGAAAGAUGGAGAAAGACAAACUGGAAGACAGGGACAGUGCACACAUGUUUAUUUCCUGUGUUGACAGAAAGUUUUUGUAAUGAAUCAAACUCAAAUCAAGAUCAGAUCUUAGAGCUAGCUACCAUAGUGAUCACUUUGAUCUGAUUUUAACCAGUUACAUGUCAAUACUACACGCAU